UGAUCCUGGACUAGACUAGAGUCUGGUCUGGAUACUGUGAGUACCACACACUAGCUUUACUGACCCUGGACUAGACAAGAGUCUGGUCUGGAUACUGUGAGUACCACACGCUAGUAAUUACACUAGCUUUGCUGAUCCUGAACUACACAAGAGUCUGGUCUGGAUACUGUGAGUACCACACACUAGCUUUACUGAUCCUGGACUAGACAAGAGUGUGGUCUGGAUACUGUGAGUACCACACACUAGUAAUUACACUAGCUUUACUGAUCCUGGACUAGACAAGAGUCUGGAUACUGUGAGUACCACACACUAGUAAUUACACUAGAUUUACUGACCCUGGACUAGACAAGAGUCUGGUCUGGAUACUGUGAGUACCACACACUAGCUUUACUGAUCCUGAACUACACACGAGUCUGGUCUGGAUACUGUGAGUACCACACACUAGUAAUUACACUAGAUUUACUGAUCCUGAACUACACAAGAGUCUGGUCUGGAUAGUGUGAGUACCACACACUAGUAAUUACACUAGCAUUACUGAGCCUGGACUAGACAAGAGUCUGGUCUGGAUACUGUGAGUACCACACACUAGUAAUUACACUAGCUUUACUGAUCCUGGACUAGACAAGAGUCUGGUCUGGAUACUGUGAGUACCACACACUAGUAAUUACACUAGCUUUACUGACCCUGGACUACACAAGAGUCUGGUCUGGAUACUGUGAGUACCACACACUAGCUUUACUGACCCUGGACUAGACAAGAGUCUGGUCUGGAUACUGUGAGUACCACACACUAGUAAUUACACUAGCUUUACUGAUCCUGGACUAGACAAGAGUCUGGUCUGGAUACUGUGAGUACCACACGCUAGUUUUACUGACCCUGGACUAGACAAGAGUCUGGUCUGGAUACUGUGAGUACCACACACUUGUUUUACUGACCCUGGACUAGACGAGUCUGGUCUGGAUACUGUGAGUACCACACACUUGUUUUACUGACCCUGGACUAGACGAGUCUGGUCUGGAUACUGUGAGUACCACACACAAUUAAUUACACUAGCUUCACUGAUCCUGGACCACACAAGAGUCUGGUCUGGAUACUGUGAGUACCACACGCUAGCUUUACUGAUCCUGGACUAGACAAGAGUCUGGUCUGGAUACUGUGAGUACCACACACUAGCUUUACUGACCCUGGACUAGACAAGAGUCUGGUCUGGAUACUGUGAGUACCACACACUAGUAAUUACACUAGCUUUACUGACCCUGGACUACACAAGAGUCUGGUCUGGAUACUGUGAGUACCACACACUUGUUUUACUGACCCUGGACUAGACAAGAGUCUGGUCUGGAUACUGUGAGUACCACACACUUGUUUUACUGACCCUGGACUAGACGAGUCUGGUCUGGAUACUGUGAGUACCACACACUAGUAAUUACACUAGCUUUACUGAUCCUGGACUACACAAGAGUCUGGUCUGGAUACUGUGAGUACCACACGCUAGCUUUACUGAUCCUGGACUAGACAAGAGUCUGGUCUGGAUACUGUGAGUACCACACACUAGUAAUUACACUAGCUUUACUGAUCCUGGACUAGACAAGAGUCUGGUCUGGAUACUGUGAGUACCACACACUAGCUUUACUGACCCUGGACUAGACUAGAGUCUGGUCUGGAUACUGUGAGUACCACACGCUAGCUUUACUG
rnacentral:lncRNA from 1 species